CGCGUAGGCGGACAUUUAAGUCGGGGUGAAAGCCCGGGGCUCAACCCCGGAAUUGCCUCCGAUACUGGGUGUCUCGAGACCGGAAGAGGUGAGUGGAACUGCGAGUGUAGAGGUGAAAUUCGUAGAUAUUCGCAAGAACACCAGUGGCGAAGGCGGCUCACUGGUCCGGAUCUGACGCUGAGGCGCGAAAGCGUGGGGAGCAAACA
rnacentral:rRNA from 1 species